UACGAAGGGGGCUAGCGUUGCUCGGAAUCACUGGGCGUAAAGCGCACGUAGGCGGAUCGUUAAGUCAGGGGUGAAAUCCUGGAGCUCAACUCCAGAACUGCCUUUGAUACUGGCGACCUUGAGUUCGGGAGAGGUGAGUGGAACUGCGAGUGUAGAGGUGAAAUUUGUAGAUAUUCGCAAGAACACCAGUGGCGAAGGCGGCUCACUGGCCCGAUACUGACGCUGAGGUGCGAAAGCGUGGGGAGCAAACAGG
rnacentral:rRNA from 1 species